CUAUCUCAGGCUGCCCACCAUGCUGCCCGUGUGCUCAGACAAGGAUCAAGGUUGGAAAGGAUUUGAUUAAUUCAAACAACUUGGGAGCAGAUGAGAAUUUAGGACAUCAUCCCUCGCAAAAGAACUUUUACUUCAUAGGGGCUCUAAAAGAUUGUGAAGCCUUCAACAAAAUCUCCAAUAAUGGAAUUUCACACCUGUAGGACAGAGGAACUUGAAUGGAGCACCUUUCUAAUGCCCUCUAAUCAUACCAUGCUUUAUAAGUCAAAGAAAUAGUAAUUUAAUCUCAACCAUGUACUAACACUGUUCCAUCUACAUUACAAACAUCAACUCACUGAUGCCUCACAGCCAUAUGAGUGCGACUCAGCAGGAUUCAAAGCACCUUACUGAUUGAACAAAGAGGAUUACUUUACUUUUUUUUAAGGGUCAUGCAACUACUUCUGGCCAAUGGGUUGUAAGCAGAAAUCUCUGCUUGAGACCCUCCAAACUGCUUUUCCUUCUGGCAUGAAGACUAGCAAUAUUCAAGAUGACAGCUUGUCCACUGGCCUGGAACCCCGAGUGACUCUAAGGAGCAAAGCCUUACUGAGGACCUAUAAAGGACAUAAAACAUAAGCGGAGUAUUUUGUCUACCACUGGGAAUCUGAGAGGCUGGCUUUGUCAUUCGCUAUCUAGUGUGACCCGAGAACCGAGUCACCAGGUCCACACUCAAGAGGAGGGGUUGCACAAGACAAGAAUACUGGAAAUGAAGAUUAUUGGGAGUCAUCUUAGAAGCUGCCUACCACAUAACUGUAUCACAAAUUCACUUUUUAGUGUUUCAAUAACUGCAUGUUAAUAAAAUCAAUUUCCUUU